GACGAACGCUGGCGGCGUGCUUAACACAUGCAAGUCGAACGAAGUGGCGAACGGGUGAGUAACGCGUAAUCAACCUGACCUUCAGAGGGGGACAACAGUUGGAAACGACUGCUAAUACCGCAUACUGAAGGCGGGGAUUGCGUGUGAUUAGCUAGUUGGAGGGGUAACGGCCCACCAAGGCGAUGAUCCGUAGCCGGGCUGAGAGGAUGAACGGCCACAAUGGGACUGAGACACGGCCCAGACUGCUACGGGAGGCAGCAGUGGGGAAUUUUCCGCAAUGGACGAAAGUCUGACGGAGCAACGCCGCGUGAGUGAUUACGGCCCUCGGGUUGUAAAGCGCUGUUAAUCGGGACGCGGUACCGGAAUAGAAAGCCACGGCUAACUACGUGCCAGCAGCCGCGGUAAUAC
rnacentral:rRNA from 1 species